rnacentral:lncRNA from 1 species
UGAGGACACAGCAAGAAAGUGGUCAUCUGCAAGCGCAAAAGACAGGCCUCAGAAGAACCCAACCCUAUUGACACUAUGAUCUUGGACAUCCAGCCUCCAGAACUGAGCCAAAAUAAUGCAGCUUCACAUCUCCUUAAUGGACAGAAGACUACACUGUUUUUGCUGCACCCAGAGAUAAAAUUAUUGGUUUUGGAGUACCUUCACUGAUGCCAGGGGUGUCAUCUUUACCUUCCAUCACAUAAUAUAUAUAAAGAGAAUUUUUCUUAGCUUUAAAUGAGUUGAUAAGAGGACAAGAAGAAAGUCAAGGACUCCAUUUCCAGGAUUAAAAGCGGUUUUUUCCUUUGUCUUCCAAAUCCUAGCAGUAGAAGCAUUUGAGUUCUGCAGAAAUUACUGAAGUGGUUCAAGUGUGGGCAGUCAGGACACUCAGCCCACCAUACUCAACCCCAACUCAACCUCAACUCUCAGUACGGCAGAGAGACGGAGAACUCAGAGCUAUAACUUUCAGGAAUUCUCAAAACCUCAGACAAAAUGCAUCUUUGUUUUACCACCUGUUAAAGUAUAUCCUCAUCUGCCUCAGUGCACAUAAGUAUACAACACUGCAGAUUGUGUUUAACUUCAUUUGCAAUUAAUUUAACGCAUUUUGUAUCCAACAUUUCUACUAGGAAAUAGUAUUAGUCUAUCCCCAAACUAAAAUUCACUGCAAAAAUGUAAUUCACUCAAGAAAAAUAAUGAUAAUUCUUCAAACACCUUGAGAUGUCAUUCAACAAUCAUACCCAAUGGGUAAAAUUUAG